GACGCGCGGGCGGCGGUCGAGUUGGCUGCGGUGAGCAACGGGGGCUGAGGGCCCGCGCUAUGUGUGCGGCUGCGGCCGGACCCCGGCGCCUCCGGAGGGAAGUGGCGGCCUCGGAAAGCCCCUGGCUGAGAGAAGCCCGGAGCUGCAGCGAGUCUGUUCGCUGUGGAGCGAGAAACCCAGCUGCAGUUCGGGCGGAGACUAGGCAGACAACGCCCACACCUGGCGCCCGAAGAAGGUGCGGAACUUGAGUGCCUCAAAAGAACCUCAGCAGUCGAGGGAAACGAACACCCAAAAAGGGUGAGUCCCGGGCCAGAUCACCUAGCCGUCAGUGAAGGUCUGGGCCCGGAACGGGGAGCACCAGGCCCUCUGGAAGAGGUUCUUAUUGAGGUCUGGUGGUUAUUCCAGAAACGAAACUCUGACUCCACAGACCUCCCGGAAAGUUCAUUACUCGUCCCUUCUCCACCCAUACCUUCCACAGCACCACCAGCGGGGACAGUACCAGGCACCUAGGUUCCUCUCUCCGACCAAGGCGCCCCGGGCUCUUUCGUCUCCAGGGGCGGUGGGGUCGUGGGGAGGGGGGUUGCGAAUAAAUCUCGGGCACUCGACGGCGCCGGAACACGCGAGACCUUCCUUCCGGUUGGGCUGCCCCGCAAGGUGGCAUCCUCAGCGGUGGCUCCUGCUGUACAUUGGGUCCACCAAAGGCAUUCAGAACCAUCCAUCUUCGAAGGAAGGAACGCCGCAGAGCUCCACGUCUGACCCACUGUACAUGCUCGCGCCCCACUCCCCUUCAGAAGUCCCUGGACCUAGCUCAGAGACCUCCAUGGUGGAGGGCAUGGGGGAAGCCUGAGCUCACUGGAUCAGUUGUGGCCGAGUAGCCCCGGAGAAAGGCUUUGUGGCUCUGGGCUUUUCGCUGGCUGACUAGCACACCUGGGGAGUACAUCCAUGCUGUUAUCCUCUGUUCACAGCUGAGGCAACCAAGACUGAAAGAGGCAAAGUGUUUUGUCCAAAAGCACAACAGGGGCAGAGUAACAAAUUAUGCAUUCGUUUCAUCAUGAGUCUAUUCAGCAUCUACUCUUGGCAAGGCACCAUGUUCUGUGGUGCACAGAGGUGGGUACUGGAUAUGUGGCCUCAGCCUUGCAGGAGAUUGCAGUCUAUUGAGGCAAGAAGAGGUUUGUGAAUUGUAUCUCCAGGAGUUCCCUAGACAGCAAGGACCAUGGUUUAGAGGACGAGAAGAUCUGUAAAGCAGAGAUGCUUACCUUGAAGUAUGGAGAAAACAAGACUUUGAAAGACUCAGAGGAAAUCAUAAACUUACAGUAACCAUUUGCAUCUCUUUACAGAGGAAAAAAAUCCACAAGUGGAUACUUUUGAGGAUUUUACACAUUGAUAGAAGAAAAUGUUUAGGAUACCUAAGCGAAUCCCAUUGAAGGCAUGUAUUAGCAUUAAUUUCUCCUAAUUAUUGAAAUGAAGCCAAUGUGGUUCUUUCUCCUCUUAAGAUUUCAACAAAGAUGCUGAGACUCUUAAAGUUUACUGAGUUAGAAACAUGCUGGAAUUAAUGUUAUUUAAAAACAAUAACUUUUCUCCAACCAAUGAGGCUUCCUGGAUUGAGGCUCUUUUCACAGGAGCUUCUGAAUUCUGAUGGAGAUCUAAUCAGAUGUUGCAGGUAGAAAAAUGUAUGAGAAGUUAAAUGACAUUUCAAUUUGGCGUGUGCUGAAGGUUAGUCUAGGAAGUUUCCAGGGAACCAGUAAAUGGGCUGACCAAACCUUGGGAGUCCCUGUAGGGAGGAUGUUGGUCUUGACCUGAUCAGUGAUCCAAGAUCAUUGAGUUAUAGUAACCCUGUAAACAUCUCAAGGAACUCUUGAUAACCUCUUCAGUAACCAGUACAGUAUUGUCUACAGAUAUAAGUAUACAAUAAAUAUUUGUUUAAUAGAAUUUGUUACCAGGUCCUAAGCUUAACCAAAGCAGAAGCAGACAACUGCCCUUGGGAAUAUAACCCAAACUUUCAGGAGCCAAAAA